rnacentral:tRNA from 2 species
GCUGGCGUAGCUCAGUUGGCAGAGCAGCGGUUUUGUAAACCGCGGGUCGUCCGUUCAAUUCGGAUCGCCAGCU